UUGUCAGCCCUGGUGAGUGAAGUCCUCUGUCAAACCACAGCACAGGCAGCAGCACUGGAAACUUCUGCAUACACUGCCCUGCCAAUGUGCCUCAGUCCUGAUCUGGAGACACGCCUUCUAGGGGUGGGGUGGCAGGUAACUUACAGUCAAUGGCCCAUUCAAUUCAAUGCCUGU
ensembl:misc_RNA